rnacentral:rRNA from 1 species
CAAUAGCGUACAUUAUUGAUGUUGCAGUUGAAACGUUCGUAGUCGAACCUUAUCUGCUUAAGUGUUGUGCCAUCGACGAUGAUGCAGCCCUCUCAGCAGAGAUUGUGCAAAGGUUGUUGUGUUCCACAUUAAUCUUUUGCACCUUACUUUGAGUGAAUCGGCGUGUUCCACGCAGGCAUGUGCCUUGAACGAUUUACCAUAGCAUAAUCAGAGUAUGAGUGUGCUUCCUUGCUAGUUCGGGAGCACUUUCGAUACUGAAAAGAACGGUUGAGGGCAUUCGUAUUCAACUGCUAGAGGUGAAAUUCUUUGAUUAGUUGAGGACGAACCAUUGCGAAAGCAUCUGCCAAGGACGUUUCUUUUGA